AAUAUAUCGAUACCCCGGGAUCAUACUCCUAGGUGAUCCUAGAGAAAACUCCAGAGCUGGGGGUGGGAGGACCCUGCAGAUCAUUUCUUUGGGCCUUUUAUUUUGAUUUGAUAUAGAAAGAACAAAGCCAGACAGAGGUGUCUGAUAGGCUUACUUUGAAAUCUGACCCAGCCGUGAUGCCAACUGCUAGUUUGGACACAACAGCUGUGUGUCUUUUUGCAGGAGCCUGGGGAGGGGCCAUGGUGCCAGGCCAGCUGUGGGGGAAACUGGAGAAGCCGCUUCUCUUCCUGUGCUGCACCUCCUUCCUCCUGGGGCUGGCUUUGCUGGGGAUACGGCCGGACAUCACCCCUGUGGCUUAUUUCCUUCUCAGCUUGGGUGGCUUCUUUUUGUUGGGCUGCCUCCUGGCCUGUUUUUUGGAAUGGGGGUCUCGAUCAGUGCAGACCGAGAGCCCAGGGGCCUCCAGCAAUGCACGGGACAACGAAGCCUUUGAGGUGCCAACCUAUGUCGAAGCCACAGUGACGGAGCCGCAGCCACAGCCGCACCCCCAAGAGCUGGACCAACCACCCUCUUACAGCAGCAUUGUAAUCCCCCCAGGACUUGAGGAAGGACAGCCUAACCACCCAGAGGAGCCCAGGAGGGCCAGACUGGACAGGCGAGUGGGCUCAGAGGGGUCUGUGACCUCAGCAAGUCCUAGAAGACCUCCAGUCAGCCUGCGGCUUCGGUGGUCACGGGCUGCGUCCACUGUUCCUGAUUUGCAGACCUUGUGGACAACCCCCAGAUUGGAACCUCUGACUCCACCCCCUGCCUAUGAAGUCAGCUGUGAUCACUCUGAUGAUGAUGUUUUCUAUGGAAACAACUGGACACCCCCCUAAAGGACUUUCCGAGGAUGUAUCAUCUUUCGGCACCAGACCCACUCAUUCUUCAGACCAUUGCUUCCCAGUGCCUGUCAGGUGUCAGGAACCGUGUCCCCACCUGGACAUCACAAAUGCAAACUUUGACCCAGAGAGGAGUCGGGCUGUGGUGAGCCCUGCCCGGUUUUGAGGUGGCCCAUCCCAGAGAUCCAGGUGGCAAAAUUUGAGUCUUCAGGCAAUAUUCAGCAACCUACCCCAUAUCCAGAGUUAGACCGAGGACGAGAUGAGGAAGUGAUCCAGAGAAUCUAGGGAAAGAAGAAAAGAAACAAUAUCUGAGUGACAUUCUGAUGCUUCUGUUCCAGGUGCUUUGGCUCUAUUUUAGAUAACAAAAAUGAGGGGUUAUUGCCCUCAUUUGUGAAAUGAGGGCCCUAAUGGUCAGAAAAAAAAAAAAAGAUAAUUUUCACAGGAGCACUCUGCUAGUAAAUGACACAAAAUCUUGAACUUUGCUCUUCAGAUCUCAUUGCCUCUAUCUUUUCUUUUUUCUUACUCUCUUUUUUUUGAGUUGUUUUAUUUGGGACAAAAUGAGAAGUAUAGCCCAGGAGAUACCAUUUCAAAUAGUUCUGAGAAACUGCUCCAAAGAGGUAGGGGGAGAAGGUCAGUAUAUAUAUGAUUUAAAAAAAAAAAAAAAGUUUGAGGAUAAUUGCUUAACAAUGUUGUGUUGGUUUCUGCCAUACAACGUGAAUUAGUCCUAAGCAUAGAUAUAUCCCUUCUUGUCUUGAGCCUCCAUCCGCCCCCUCUAGGUUGUCACAGAGCACCACACAGCAACUUCCCACUAGCUGUUUACUUUACACAAGAUAAUGUAUGUAUUUCAGUGCUACUUUCUCAGUUAAUCCCAUCCUCCCCUUCCCCUGCUGUGCUGCUCACAAAUUCAUUCUCUACAUCUGUCUCUGUUCCUGCCCUACAAAUACGUUCAUCAGUACCAUUUUUCUAGAUUAUGUGUAUAUAUAUGUAUAUACACACACACAUACAUUAGUAUGGGCUUCCCAGGUGGCACUAGUGAUAAAGAACCUGCCUGCCAACGAAGGGAGACACAAGAGAUGCAGGUUCAAUCUCUGGGUCGGGAAGAUUCCCCUGGAGGAAGGCAUGACAACCCACUGCGGUAUCCUUGCCUGGAGAAUCCCAUGGACGGGAGCCUGGCAGGCUACAGUCCAUAGAAUUGCAAAGUCAGACACGACUGAAACUACUUAGCGUGCACAAACAUCCAUUAAUGUACAGUAUUUUUCUCUUUCUGAUUUACUUCACUCUGUGUAACAGGUUCUAGGUUCAUCUACCUCAGUUUGUAUUUUCAGUACAAGGCAACAGAAGCCAGUUCACCCAAGCAUCUCUGUUCCCCUCUUGGUCAAUGGCUGGUGAGGGGGUGGAGGACUUCCUGUAUACAGAACCGGGAACCAAUUGUGUCUGCAGACAGGGCGGGCUGAGUAUACCAGGAGUAAGCUAGCCUCCUAGAGGAGCAGAGGGAAUUGCAACUGGGAUGGUCCCUGUUCUACAAAGGGAGCAGUUCCUGCGCAGUGGGGCUGGGGGCUGGAGUGAAAGUGAAAGUCGCUCUGUCCUGUCAGAGUCUUUGCGACUCCAUGGACCACACAAUCCAUGGAAUUCUCCAGGCCAGAAUACUGGAUUGGAUAGCCUUUCCCUUCUCCAGGGGAUCUUCCCAACCCAGGGACUGAACCCAGGUCUUCCACACUGUAGCAGAUUGUUAACCAGCUGAGCCACAAGAGAAGGCCAAGAAUACUGGAGUGGGUAGCCUAUCACUUCUCCAGUGGAUCUUCCUGACCCAGGAAUCAAACCUGGGUCUCUUGCAUUGCAGGCAGAUUCUUUACCAACUGAGCCAUCAGGGGGGCUGGACAGCAGUUUCCAAUGCAGGGUCCCCAUCUGAUGGGGAAGCAGGGAGUUAAACUGCCCCAGGGGGGAGAGACUUCUGAUUUUCAGGAUGGGUGGAUAUGAUGAUCGACCCGACCUUCUUGGAGAGAAGUGGUGGAAUAUCUAAGAAAGAGACAGUUAAGUCACUCAAUCGUGUCCGACUCUUUGCGACCCCAUGGAUUGUAGCCUACCAGGCUUCUCCGCCCAUGGGAUUUUCCAGGCAAAAGUACUGGAGUGUGUUGUCAUUUCCUUCUCCAGGAGAUCUUCCUGACCGAGGGAUCGAACCCAGGUCUCCCGCAUUGUAGGCAGACGCUUUUACCGUUUGGGCCACCAAGGAAUUCGAGUAUCUAAGGCUCCCUCAUAAAUCAUCUAUUAAGGCACUGGAGCCACUUGAGCGCUGUGUGCGGUUGCUUCAGCCUCACCCCUGCGCUGUGACGCUGGGUUUUACCCCAGGCUCCCUGGCCGGCUUCCUCAGAUCCAAACAGAACGCCAGCUUCUCCGUAAUCACGGUCUCAGCCUGUAACACAGGUUUGAGCCCGAGGGAGCUGCUCGACCAUCCCUGACCCACUCUUCUCACUCUUUGCGCAGGGAAGCUGUCCAGGGCCUUUCAGUGCUUUCCUUGUCCUCCCUACGCGGGUCCCAACAGUUCAAUAAAUUGAAAAGUCCGGCCA
rnacentral:lncRNA from 1 species